rnacentral:misc_RNA from 1 species
UUGAUAUCCAAGAGUAAGCCAAAGGAAAAUUAGAAGGCAUUCUAAUGAGAAGCUAAACUUUGUAAAGAAAUCAGCAAAGAUAGAUUCUACCCUUGAGAUUAGGAUAACAUUUUGCUUAAGACUUGGCAGAGUAGAAUUUAUUGCUUAUAGGCCAUAGCCUUGCCAUACAUAGAAUUUUAGGUCUGUUAAUGUGAUUAGACAACAGGGGGUAUACUAUUGACAGACACUUGAUGGCUCAGACUCAAUAAGACCAACCAGCUGAG